rnacentral:rRNA from 1 species
UACGUAGGGGGCAAGCGUUGUCCGGAUUCAUUGGGCGUAAAGCGCGUGUAGGCGGCCAGGUAGGUCUGGUGUGAAAACUCGAGGCUCAACCUCGAGAGGUCAUCGGAAACCAUCUGGCUAGAGUCCGGAAGAGGAGAGUGGAAUUCCUGGUGUAGCGGUGAAAUGCGCAGAUAUCAGGAAGAACACCUAUGGCGAAGGCAGCUCUCUGGGACGGUACUGACGCUGAGACGCGAAAAGCGUGGGGAGCGAACAGG